rnacentral:rRNA from 1 species
ACCCCACUGCUAUCGGGAUAGGACUAAGACAUGCUAGUCGCGUGCCUCAGCCAAAACGAGGCACGGCAUACAGCUCAGUAGCACGUGGCUAACCUGCCCUUGGGACGGGAAUACCCCCGGGAAACUGGGGCUAAUUCUCGAUAGGCGAAGAACUCUGGAAUGAGUCUUUACCCAAAAGGCCCUACGUUAUGCUCGUAGGUUUCGCCCAAGGAUGGGGCCGCGACCGAUCAGGUUGUUGGUGAGGUAAUGGCUCACCAAGCCUUUAACCGGUGCGGGCCGUGGGAGCGGGAGCCCGGAGAUGGGCACUGAGACAAGGGCCCAGGCCCUACGGGGCGCAGCAGUCGCGAAAACUUUGCAAUAAGCGAAAGCUUGACAGGGCUAUCCCGAGUGCCAUCCGCUGAGGAAGGCUUUUACCCAGUCUAGAACGCUGGGGGAAUAAGGAGAGGGCAAGUCUGGUGUCAGCCGCCGCGGUAAUACCAGCUCUCCGAGUGGUGUGGAUGUUUAUUGGGCCUAAAGCAUCCGUAGCUGGCUAGGUUAGUCCCUUGUUAAAUCCACCGAAUUAAUCGUUGGAUAUCGGGGGAUACUGCUUGGCUAGGGGACGAGAGAGGCAGACGGUAUUCUCGGGGUAGGGGUGAAAUCCUAUAAUCCCGGGAAGACCACCAGUGGCGAAGGCUGUCUGCUAGAACGCGCCCGACGGUGAGGGAUGAAAGCUGGGGGAGCGAACCGGAUUAGAUACCCGGGUAGUCCCAGCUGUAAACGAUGCAGGCUAGGUGUUUGGACGGCCACGUGCCGUUCUAGUGCCGCAGGGAAGCUGUUAAGCCUGCCGCCUGGGGAGUACGAUCGCAAGAUUGAAACUUAAAGGAAUUGGCGGGGGAGCACCACAAGGGGUGAAGCUUGCGGUUU